AGACACAAGUUGCUGUGGUGGUUUCCUCAGGGUGAGGCCUGUCCCUUGUGCUCUGGACACGCUGAGCCCUGCAGGUUUCCCCAGUGCAGGACGCUAGAGUGCAAUUUUGUGGCAAUGGGGAGACUGCAGUUGUGCUUUCCCCCC
rnacentral:snRNA from 14 species